AUCACCUGGGGAUCUUGAUAAAAUGCAGAUUCAGUCUCAGUAGGUCUGCAGUGGGGCCUGGGAUUCUGCAUUUCCACAAGCUUCCAGGUGAUGCUGA
rfam:Myotis davidii contig166403, whole genome shotgun sequence.